AUUGAACGCUGGCGGCAGGCCUAACACAUGCAAGUCGAGCGAGCGGCGGACGGGUGAGUAAUGUAUGGGGACUGCCCGAUAGAGGGGGAUAACUACUGGAAACGGUAGCUAAUACCGCAUACUAUCGGAUAACCCAUAUGGGAUUAGCUAGUAGGUGAGGUAAGGGCUCACCUAGGCGACGAUCCCUAGCUGGUCUGAGAGGAUGAUCAGCCACACUAGGCCUGAGACGAGGCCCAGACACCGACGGAGACAGCAGUGGUGAAUAUUGCACAAUGGGCGCACGCCUGAUGCAGACAUGCCGCGUGUAUGAAGAAGGCCCUAGGGUUGUAAAGUACUGUCAGUCGGGAGGCGUUACCGACAGAAGAAGCACCGGCUAACUCCGUGACAGCCGCCGCGGUAAUAC
rnacentral:rRNA from 1 species